rnacentral:rRNA from 1 species
GAGAAAGGUUUUUCAAGAGCGAGUAAAGUGGCGGAAGGGCGAGUAAUGCAUAGAUGACCUACCCUCGAGAUGGGGACAACCAUUCGAAAGGAUGGCUAAUACCCAAUAAGACCACGGGUCGCAUGGCCUGUGCUCAAAGAUGGGGACCCGCAAGGGCCUUUCGCUCGAGGAGGGGUUUAUGUCCUAUCAGCUAGUUGGUGGGGUAAUGGCUCACCAAGGCUAUGACGGGUAGCCGACCUGAGAGGGUGACCGGCCGCACUGGGACUGAGACACUGCCCAGACUCCUACGGGAGGCUGCAGUCGAGGAUCUUCCGCAAUGCACGAAAGUGUGACGGAGCGACGCCGCGUGGGUGAUGAAGGCCUUCGGGUUGUAAAGCCCUGUCGCCUGGGAAGAAUGGCGGGAGGUGAAUAGCCAUCUCGUCUUGACGCUACCAGUAAAGGAAGCACCGGCUAAAUACGUGCCAGCAGCCGCGGUAAUACGUAUGGUGCGAACGUUGUUCGGAAUCACUGGGCAUAAAGAGCACGUAGGCGGUCGGGCAAGUCCAUUGUG